rnacentral:lncRNA from 1 species
AUUUUCUUGGAUACUGGAGAAUGGAAGCCAACAGCUUUCAGAGUCUGAGUGCCUUGAAAAUUUUCUCCUGUACAUCUGUUGAGUUGUUUUCAGUGCCUGUUCAUUAAAGCAAGCAACUUGUCCAUAGUUCUCAACUUUUACUCUACAUUUUAGAGCAGCAAUAACUAUGCUAACUAUUAAGUGAUGUUAUCUUCUUUUUAAGGGCACUUUACUCUGUCUUCCUAGGUUCACUUGCUAAAUUUUCUUAAGUCUUUCCUAGCUCACAAUAUCUGCUUCUUUUCUACCUACUUAUCCAUCACCUCCGUUAACAAGAUGUCACUACCAUGAUAGUUUCCAUUUUGAUGCAUAACAUUCUUUAUCUGCAUGAUCCCUCUCAGGAAUGGGAACAAAAAGGGAAAUGAAGUGCAAGGGGUGUUGUCUUACCCCAGCUUCAGUCCUGCACUGUGCUGACCUGGCUCCUGGCUGAAUGAGAAGUCAUGCAGAGAGAUUCUGACCCAGAAAAACACAAUUCCUGCAUAGAAUUUGUGGUAUGCAGAAUCCCUCCUUGGAAACCUUGACUAUGAAAUUGCUUUUCAGAGAGAAAAAUGCUGCCAUGCUUACUGCUACGUCCUGCCACUGCUGCCCUUGGUGCAUCAUUCUUCCACACCUUUCAUCUGGCCUGAGUGUGUAUGUAGGGCUGCUUUUGCCCAAGCAAAGAUCCUUGAGAGUAAACUGA